UGAAAUCCGGUCUUGGAUCAUUCUAGUCCAAAACUAUUCCACAGAUGUUUCCAAAGCUGGAAUGUGAAAUGGCUUUGAAUACGUAAAUCUGUUAUUUGAAUUAUUCAACAAUUCUUUCCCUGACAACUUCUAUGAGGGAGCUGCCUUCCUGUCACUUCUCAUUACAAUAGCCUUGCUUUCUCUCCUUUGUGCCACUUUUCCUGAAGUAUUGGCAAGCUAGUUCAAAAACAUUGUGCAAAACACCUUGGGAAGGGUCGCCUGCAAGCGGUGUUUCUAUAGGUUACACAUGGCUUAAUCUCACCCAGUGACUCAGGAACAAAAUCUGGGCAGGUCAAAAAUUAAUGCAAAAAUGCACUGAUACCCUCUUGUUGAGAUUAGAAGGACAAUGAUUAAAAAUAGACUUCCGAUAUUCCUAUUUUAAGGGGUUUGUACCCAACCAUUUAUUGAUGUAAUAAAUGUUUGUGGUGUGUUUGCUCCAUGCCAACCAGUCCAAACAGAGCAUUUGGAAUCAGCCUGUCUGGUUCUAGAAUACUAUCAACAACUCAACAUGUGAUUCCCCUCCAACUCUGUCCAUUUUGCAUUUAUGCCAGUGAAAUAAGGAGCUAAUAUCUCUGAGCAAGCCCAGGGUAGGGUAACCAACCAUUCCAAUUGCCCAGGACUCAGGGAAUUCUAAGGCACAAGACUUUCAGCUUCAAAACUGGGAAAGUCCCAGAAUAAGAAUGGAGUCGAUCACUCUAGCACGAGACCUGGAACCACAGUAAUUCGAGUUUCAAAUUUUGGUUUUGAAACAUCUUCAGACAUCAUAUUUGUUUCUAUUUUAUGGACUGAGAAUUUCUGCUUUCCUUGGAGUGUAAACACAGCUGGCUGGCUCUUGCUAGCAUUUAACUCAUCAGCUGACUUGUGUAGCAGACGGGGUUUCUUCAUCACAAAAGGUUUUAGAUGUGAGAGUCCAAGCCUGAUGAUCAGCAAAUCUCAGAGGACUAACAAAGACGGUGUAUAGGAUAUUCAUCUUCUCGGACGACAAGAAAGGCAGUUGAAACAUCUUGGGGGGCUUAUAUUUCUACUUUCUCCUGCAGUUCAUUUUGAUGUCAUUAAAUAUUAAUUUACCUUGAAUACUUCCUCCUCCAGCAACCGCCCCAUCUCUCUCCGCUUCUUUCCAACAAAACGCCUCCAUGCAGGGAUACAUUCUUGCCAUCGCUACCAGUUCCCCC
rnacentral:lncRNA from 1 species